rnacentral:rRNA from 1 species
UACGGAGGAUGCAAGCGUUAUCCGGAAUGAUUGGGCGUAAAGAGUCCGUAGGUGGUCUUUCAAGUCUGCUGUCAAAGAAUGAGGCUCAACCUCAUCAAGGCGGUGGAAACUGAGAGACUAGAGAGCAUUCGGGGCAGAAGGAAUUCCUGGUGUAGCGGUGAAAUGCGUAGAUAUCAGGAAGAACACCGGUGGCGAAAGCGUUCUGCUAGGCUGCGACUGACACUGAGGGACGAAAGCUAGGGGAG